AGUGAACGCUGGCGGUAGGCCUAACACAUGCAAGUCGAACGGCAGCACAGUAAGAGCUUGCUCUUACGGGUGGCGAGUGGCGGACGGAUGAGGAAUACAUCGGAAUCUACUUUUUCGUGGGGGAUAACGUAGGGAAACUUACGCUAAUACCGCAUACGACCUACGGGUGAAAGCAGGGGAUCUUCGGACCUUGCGCGAUUGAAUGAGCCGAUGUCGGAUUAGCUAGUUGGCGGGGUAAAGGCCCACCAAGGCGACGAUCCGUAGCUGGUCUGAGAGGAUGAUCAGCCACACUGGAACUGAGACACGGUCCAGACUCCUACGGGAGGCAGAAGUGGGGAAUAUUGGACAAUGGGCGCAAGCCUGAUCCAGCCAUACCGCGUGGGUGAAGAAGGCCUUCGGGUUGUAAAGCCCUUUUGUUGGGAAAGAAAAGCAGCAGGUUAAUACCCCGCUGUUCUGACGGUACCCAAAGAAUAAGCACCGGCUAACUUCGUG
rnacentral:rRNA from 1 species